rnacentral:tRNA from 1 species
GCCUUGAUGGUGAAAUGGUAGACACGCGAGACUCAAAAUCUCUUGCUAAAUAGCGUGGAGGUUCGAGUCCUCUUCAAGGCA